rnacentral:miRNA from 1 species
UCCCACCGCUGCAGCCC